UACGUAGGGGGCAAGCGUUGUCCGGAUUUAUUGGGCGUAAAGCGCGUGUAGGCGGCCAGGUAGGUCAGCUGUGAAAACUCGAGGCUCAACCUCGAGAUGUCGGCUGAAACCAUCUGGCUAGAGUCCGGAAGAGGAGAAUGGAAUUCCCGGUGUAGCGGUGAAAUGCGCAGAUAUCGGGAAGAACACCCGUGGCGAAGGCGGUUCUCUGGGACGGUACUGACGCUGAGACGCGAAAGCGUGGGGAGCGAACAGGAUUAGAAACCCCGGUAGU
rnacentral:rRNA from 1 species